UACGUAGGUGGCAAGCGUUGUCCGGAUUUACUGGGCGUAAAGAGCGCGCAGGCGGCUGGUCAAGUCCGAUGUGAAAUCUCCCGGCUCAACUGGGAAACUGCAUCGGAAACUGAUCGGCUUGAAGGCAGGAGAGGGAAGUGGAAUUCCCGGUGUAGUGGUGAAAUGCGUAGAGAUCCGGAAGAACACCAGUGGCGAAGGCGGCCUGCUGGGCAGUAGCUGACGCUGAGGCGCGACAGCGUGGGGAGCAAACAGG
rnacentral:rRNA from 1 species